AUUGAACGCUGGCGGCAGGCUUAACACAUGCAAGUCGAGCGAGCGGCGGACGGGUGAGUAAUGUCUGGGAAACUGCCUGAUGGAGGGGGAUAACUACUGGAAACGGUAGAUAAUACCGCAUACCAUCAGAUGUGCCCAGAUGGGUGUAGCUAGUAGGUGGGGUAAUGGCUCACCUAGGCGACGAUCCCUAGCUGGUCUGAGAGGAUGAACAGCCACACUGGAACUGAUACACGGUCCAGAUUCCUCAGGGAGGCAGCAGUGGGGAAUAUUGGACAAUGGGCGAAAGCCUGAUGCAGCCAUGCCGCGUGUGUGAAGAAGGCCUUCGGGUUGUAAAGCACUGUCAGCGAGGAGGCGUUACUCGAAGAAGAAGCACCGGCUAACUCCGUGCCAGCAGCCGCGGUAAUUC
rnacentral:rRNA from 1 species